rnacentral:rRNA from 1 species
UACGUAGGGUGCGAGCGUUAAUCGGAAUUACUGGGCGUAAAGCGUGCGCAGGCGGCUUUGCAAGACAGAUGUGAAAUCCCCGGGCUUAACCUGGGAACUGCAUUUGUGACUGCAUGGCUGGAGUGCGGCAGAGGGGGAUGGAAUUCCGCGUGUAGCAGUGAAAUGCGUAGAUAUGCGGAGGAACACCGAUGGCGAAGGCAAUCCCCUGGGCCUGCACUGACGCCCAUGCACGAAAGCGUGGGGAGCAAACAGG